UACGGAGGGGGCUAGCGUUGUUCGGAAUUACUGGGCGUAAAGCGCACGUAGGCGGCUUUGUAAGUUAGAGGUGAAAGCCCGGGGCUCAACUCCGGAAUUGCCUUUAAGACUGCAUCGCUAGAAUUGUGGAGAGGUAAGUGGAAUUCCGAGUGUAGAGGUGAAAUCGUAGAUAUCGCAAGAACACAGUGGCGAAGGCGGCUCACUGGCCCGGUACUGACGCUGAGGUGCGAAAGCGUGGGGAGCAAACAGG
rnacentral:rRNA from 1 species